rnacentral:rRNA from 1 species
GACGAACGCUGGCGGCGUGCCUAACACAUGCAAGUCGAACGGAAAGGCCCUGCUUUUGUGGGGUGCUCGAGUGGCGAACGGGUGAGUAACCCGUGAGUAACCUGCCCUUGACUUUGGGAUAACUUCAGGAAACUGGGGCUAAUACCGGAUAGGAGCUCCUGCUGCAUGGUGGGCGUUGGAAAGUUUCGGCGGUUGGGGGUGGACGCGCGGCUUACGAGCUUGUUGGUGGGGUAGUGGCUUACCAGGGCAUUGACGGGUAGCCGGCCUGGGAGGGGGACCGGCGACAUUGGGCCUGCGAUACGGCCCAGACUCGAACGGGAGGCAGCGGUGGGGAAUAUUGCACAGGGGGCGGGAGCGUGAUACGGCGACGCCGCGUGCGGGAAGACGGCCUUGGGGUUGGGAACCGCUGUCGCCUGAGACGAAGCGUGAGUGACGGUACCGGGAGAAGAAGCACCGGCUAACUACGUG